UACGAAGGGGGCUAGCGUUGCUCGGAAUUACUGGGCGUAAAGCGCACGUAGGCGGCUUUCUAAGUCGGGGGUGAAAUCCUGGAGCUCAACUCCAGAACUGCCUUCGAUACUGCGUGGCUAGAGUGCUGGAGAGGAGACUGGAAUUUACGGUGUAGCAGUGAAAUGCGUAGAUAUCGUAAGGAAGACCAGUGGCGAAGGCGAAGUCUCUGGACAGCAACUGACGCUGAGGCACGAAGGCCAGGGGAGCAAACGGG
rnacentral:rRNA from 1 species